AUGUGUUCCAGAUCACAUGACGAUCUCUGUCGGUCCCACAUCAGCUGUUUGAUCCUCAUGCGACUGGACACAACAUUUACACCCUGUUCAGCAACAUCAGUACAUUCCAGAUGUUUUUAUUCAAUGAGCCAGUUAUCAACAGGUCAGACGGACACAUUAUAUAGAAUUAUAGUGCAAUUACCAUGAGGAGUCACACAGAAACAGGUGACACUGAUCAUCAGCUCAGAGCUUCUGACAGUAUCAGCCUCACAAUGUUGCACUUAAAAAAAUCUAAAAAUAAAAAAAGUCCUUUAAGUUUUACAUGCAACCAAUUUUCUGACCUGUUUUAGCUUUGUUGGUAUUUUUAAGUUAAUUUGUACACAUGCAGGACAUUUACAACUUGCAGACGUUGGCCCGGUGGAUAGAAGUUAUUCUGUCUUUCCACAUAAACGCUUCUAUCCAAAUGAUGUGCAAAUUUCUUUAUUGUUGGUAUUUAAAUAGUGUCCAGAGAUGAUGAUUAUUGGCACUCUUUACAAGGCUCAUAGUGAGGGUCAGCAAUUCAUUAAAAAGUUUGUAAAAGAGGUGAAAAUACAGAUUUUGGGAUUUAGGAACAAAAUUUAAUUCUGUUUCAAAUAAAAACAUUUAGAUUUCAACUUUAGAAUGGAGUGUCCUUUGAUGUCCUCUGAUGUCCUUUGAUGUCCUUUGAUGUCCUCUGAUGUCCUUUGAUGUCCUUUGAUGUUCUGAAAUGUUCCAGAAUGUUUCAACACUAAGCAGUACUCGGUGGUUAUAGCUGUGAACAUUUUACAUGACUAUUUCUAACAGGUGAGGAGAACCAGUAGUUUGAGAUCAUUGUGGGAAAGAUUCACCAAGCUCUUCAAACUCUGACGAGUGGAGGACAGCGUCUCUGACGAUGCUGUCGCAGCUGAUAGUACGACGGCUCAGUGGUUCUAACUGUCACCUGAGUGGAGCGACCAUGUUCUCUGGGUUUCUGGAACAGCAUCUUGUUUCUUUUAGGACGACCAACUCUCUCCCUCAUCCAAUCAGAUUAUACAAAUACCAACAGAGAGGUCACAGCCCCAUUUGUAAUACUGUGCAUAACCACUAAACAGCCGUUAGAUGGCAGCAUGUAUGAAAUAGAGGCUGAGAGUUUCACAGCUGCCCGACCCAAAGCUCUGGUAUUUGAUGACCUGGGAAUGAGACUCAACAAUCAGCUAUGUUUCUCCAGAACCACGUGCUGCAUGUUUGAAGUGGGCAGAGCUCUAAUGGGGGAAAUAACAUGUGACGUCACAUAUUUCCAUGCACCAAUCAGGAACAGGCUGCAGGUUUUGGGUUGCUUGGUCGCUGUCAAUCAUAUAACAUACUGCUACCAAUUAACAAUAUGAAUCAACACUGAUUAAGAUGAAGCAGAUUUCUCAGUGUUACCAUGUAGAGUGGUUCCUCUGUGUUUAAGUAAAUUUGUGUUAAUCAGCUCAGAUCACUGCUGUGAAUAAACAUGUUUCUCACUCUGA